UUCGUUUCCAUUUUCAUGUUUUCUGACUUUGCUUCAGUAACAUAACUUUUACAUUUAGAUGACUUAAGAGAUUGAUUUUUCUACUCAGUCCCUUGGCUCGAGAGUCACCGUGUAAUGCAAGGCAGCUGUUGCUCCAUCUGAAAGCUCUAGUACCAAGAACUUGCAUAGAGAGAGAAACGUGCACUGGGGAAGAGAGGGAUGGACGCAGCAGGGAUGUGCUGCUGUGACAUUUUAUGAGUCUGUGUCAGAGCCCUAGCCACAUCCUCUCCACCACAGGAGGACUCCUCAACCUGGACUCUCGGAGCAUCCAUUAAAAUCCCAGGUGGCUUUGUUCCCUCCUUGGGGCUGCUGUUCAUGAUUUGUGCUACCCCAGAGAAGCAGGAUCUACCCUGGCAGGUAUUUCUCAAGGCAAGGAGCCUUGAUGCCUUUGCAGCGCCCCAGUUGGGACAGCCCAGUGGAGAUGCUGCAGCGUGCUGGAAGAGGAUGAGACUCAUUUCGUGGGUCAGUAUAGAAAUGCACCUUCCCUGGGGAUCUCAGCCUCUGGGGGAUACUGAAUCAGCACCGUGGAAAACAAGAAGAGAGGAAACUUUGAAGCCUUUAGGAACCCAGCAUACUCCUGGCCUCUGUGCAGGGCAUCUCAGCAACAUCAGCUCAGGAUGAAAGCUGGAUCCACUCUGAGACAACAUGGGCUGUAUGUCUGGAGACAUGUACAGCCUUAUAAAGAAGAGAGGUGCUGGACCAAACCCCACAGUGUUUUCACCCUUUGAGUUAAAUAAAGAGGCAUUUUUAUCCAGCUGUAGCUGCACCUGAGUUGCUAUCCUCCUGCGGCAUGAAAAUAAGACCUGAAAUUUGCCUGACAAUAUUAUUUUCCUACACGGGUCACCUACGCUGGUGAGCUGGUGAGGGUUAUUUUAUUCUCAUGCCAUUACCUGUCACCACAGGGCCGCUCUGAUCUAAGGCAGUGGUCUAAAACAACAUUCCAGGGCAAGGUGUAUGGCUAUACUCAAUGCUCUGGGUUUCCCACGUCUGGGAAGCCGAAAUCCCAGCUCAUACCUGCUGGUAGGAUAGUGGAUAGGUAUAGGCCCAUCAAACCCUUGCCUCCCCUGUGCAUUACACUCACUCACACCUGGAGCAAGGCCACGCUGCACAGGUCUCUGAAAAGGCCACAAGUGAAGACCUCAGCAGGGCUCAAGGUCCUCCUGGAGUGGGCUGAAGACAGAAGAGCUGGAAGAAUGCUGACAUCUCCUGCUCACACGGAUGCUGCUCCACGGGGAGCGUGGGUGGCCGGGCCUGCUCACGGCCUUCGCUUUCUGAUGCGAAUGCAGGGGAACCGCUGGGAGAUCUGCUCUCUCGAGGGAUCUCCCCAGCGUCCCAGGGGAUUUCCUUCAAAAAUUAGAGGGUUCCCUCCUGGUUUUAAGCAGCUUCAAAGCCAGGUCUGCCAUUUCCCUUUGAUGUCCAGGAAAAAUUCCACGAUAAUUUACGUGGGCCCAUUUAGGCCCUAAACAGGAGGAGAGGACCUACGUGUUUCUCUACCGCUACGGCCUUUAAGACUUGCCAGACUCCUGGCAUUUCCUGCCUCAGCAUUAGGGAACUUUACACAUCCCUUGGCUCGCACGUGUGUGUCAGGGCCCUUGCCCCAGGGCUGGGGGUGAGCUGUGUGGCGCGGGAGCGCGGCUCAAGCCCUCUGAGCUCCCAGUACGCCCAGCAGUGUCGAGGGUGGUGUUACGUGGCCUCCCCGGAGCCAGCCCUUGGGCUCGCUGCCCCGUCCUCAGCAUCGGCGGGGGCUGUGAGGCAGUGCCUGGCCCCGAGCGCUCCGAAAUCCUUUGCAGGCAGAGGCGUGGGAGAACCCGCUCCUCCGUCACGGCUGAGGUCAUGGGCGCCUCCAGCACACCGGCUCGCACACACCGACACUGAAACACAGAGCGGGAAGGAGAGAAAUUGCCCCUUUUUCGGCGUCAAUGGUCCCUCAACAACACACAGAGCGGCUUCGGCUGGGUUUAGCUUGACUUGUGCAGCUUCAGAGAACCUUCUCAGUCCCAGACACGGUCUUUCCUGGGCAGAAGCCUGCUGGCAAAGCCUGAAAAGUGGCAGUGGAUCUGUCUCUUUGCUGGGGUAAAAUGUAAAGCUGCAGGGCCCGGUGUUGUCCCACAGUUGCCAUCUGCAAAUACCAAAACCACAUUGAAACCAAGCUAACGAAACACUCAAAUCUAAAAUUAACGAGACGCUCAGAUAUAUAAAAUACAGCUGUAAUUCACAAUUCUAUUUAAAUUUUAUUCCUGCACUUGCAAUUGAAGACAUUUAUAUUAAAAAAAAGAAAAAAGGGAGUAGGGAUUUGUAUUUAUGAGUAGUAAGGAAGGGCUGGAAAUGGAAAGAAGAGGGCUUGUGCAGCCUUCCUGCUGACAUACAGACUUCUCCAAGAGCAUCCCACCAAUGCUGUUAGCUCUCACUCACCAACUCUCAGGCCCUGCAGCUGUACACAUCUGUGUCUAAGUAUCUGAUUUCUUUUUCACUCUUGUUUAUGGAGUUGUAGCUGCUCCUGAUCAAAGUGACUGCAGAUAAGAUCCCACCAUGUGCUGAACUCAGAAGCAGAAGCUUGUGUCAUCAUCCUCUUCCAUGGGUUCAUGUGUCCGUCCCACCAUAGGUGGAGAAAAUGAAGAGUAUAAAACCUCCCAAACCCCAGUCUUUAACUCUUCUUUGGGCAGAAUGUUUUACCAUAUUGAUUUCAUUUGCAUUAAAAAUGCUUCUCUGGAAAUGAAAGACUUGCAUCUGACUCAUUAUUUUAGAUCUGA